rnacentral:lncRNA from 1 species
AUGAUGGGAGAUCCUCAGUCCUUGCUCUCAGCCCACCGCCUCCUUUCCCCUUUCUCUUCUCUGGAAUACAGAGCGUCUUGGUUUCUAAAAGACAAAAUAUCUGGGUUAUGUUUAUCGGUUUCCAGAGCAGAGGUUUUGUCCAAGGCCAGGGUGUGUAGGAAGAGUGACCUGCUUGACCUAAAACACACAUACACCUCGAACCUCUUUCACGUCCCAGCCAGGAUGGAAGGCAAUCCCUUCUGCUGUGCUUCUCACCUCUGUCUUUCCUCAGAUGUAAAAGCGGAUGCACUGCUGUCGGCUGGCUUAGCCCUCAGACCUGCUGAGUUCACAGCAGUAAUCCUGAGAGGUGGUUGAAACCAUAAAGCAGAAUGAUUUUCAAGUUUAAAAACCUUUUGUAAGGAGCCACGGGUGACACACGCCUGUAAUCCCAACUCUUGGGGAGGCAGAGGCAGGUGGAUCUCCGAGUUCAAGGCCAGCGUGGUCUACAAAGUGAGUUCCAGGACAUCCAGGGCUACACAGAGAAACCCUGCCUCAAAAAACAAACAGACAAAGACAAAACAAAACAGGACUGUUAGACCAGACCAGCUGCCUGGAAGAAGCAGAAACCAGCUGAUCUGUUUGGAAGAUAUUUAUUUAGACCUGAGCCACUUGCAAAGGGCACUCUCCAACCUGCUGAGCUGCCUGGAGGCUGUGCGCUGUGCACCAGGUUGCAGGCUUUUUGUGAGCUGUCACCCAUGCUGGGGUGGGCCUUGGUGAUGCGGCUGUCCCUGAGUCAUUGCUGCUCCUGGAAGUAACCUCUCACCUACUCCUCUAAGUAACCCCAAUAAAACUCUUUGGUUCAUUGGUC